rnacentral:tRNA from 1 species
GCCCCUGCAGCUCAGUGGUAGAGCUCAUGUAUGUCGUGGAACUACGAGGAGGUCGCAGGUUCGAAUCCAGCCCUGUGGCU